CUAAUCUCCAUAACUCUUUUCAUCUUUCUUGGGAGCUCUGCUCAUAAUCUUCAUUUGAAGUAGGUGGAGAAAAUAGAUAAGUGUAAAUAGAUCUCAAUGGCAGUCUGUAACUGCAAUGGUAAGAAAUUGAGAAAACACCAAACAGUAACCAAAUAACAAUCGAUUUUUAUUAUGAAAUAUAACAGAAGCAAAAAUGGACAAGACUUAGUGAAGUUACCACAAAGUAGGCAAUCUUUUAACCAUGAUCCCCAAGUCAGGAAAACAGAACAGUACUAAUAUUCCAGAAGCAUCCUCAUGAAAAACCUCCCAGAAACUGUCCUGUCCCACCUUCCUGGUCCAGAAGUUAAUCACUCUUUGCUUUUAUGGUAGUUUUAUUUCUGCUUUUACCACUUAAGUCUUUAUCUAAGUGUGUUUAGGUGCUUCUAUUCUUUGAACUACAUAAAUGGAAUAAGUAGAAUAUAUGUGUUUAGUAUUUAACUGCUUUUGCUUAGUAUUUGUGAAAAGCAUCCAGGUUCUUACACGGAACUAUAAGUUUAUUCAUUUUUAUUGAUACACAGUGUUCUCUUUCUCUCAAGCUUACUCUUAUCUGUUCUAUUGUUGAUGGACUACUGUAGUUUUCAGCUUGAAUAUAUUAUAAAUAAUGCUAUAUAAUGACAUCUCUCGGUGCUUAUGUGCAUGUAUUUCUGUGAUUAUUUGCCCCCAAAAUGGAAUUGCUGGGUUGUAUAUGAAAGUUUUUGUUGCUUCUACAUCCUUAUCAGUCCUUGUUGUUUUCGUUUAGUUAUCUCCUCCUGAGGGGCACAAAGUGAUUUCUGUUUAGUGUGCCUUCUUCCAGGUUGCUAGUGAAGUUGGCCAUUUGGAAAUCCCUGUUUUCUAAGGUACUGAUUAUUAUGCAUAUUUAGUUUUUUUAGUUAUGAGUAUAUAUCAUAUAUAUGAGGCCUUCAUUUGUGUUGCAGAUUUUCUAAGAAUAAUUUUAAUGUUUUUCCUCAAUCUUUUGUAUGUGUACAGCCUUGUUUAAAAAAAACUAUAGCUGCCUGUGGUGUUUCCCAGGAAAUUACUGCUUUACUUUUCAGUUUUGUGGAAUUCAUUUGUCUAGUAUCCUGUGAAUUGUUUUUGUUUCGAGUUUUGGGAAUAUGGAUACAUAAUUUUCCCAGCACCAUUUAUUGGAGGAAGAAAAAAAAAAUGUCCUUUUCCUAUGGCUCUGAAAUAUUCCUUGUGUAGUAAAUUGAAUUCCAUCAACUUUUUAUAUUCCAUAGAGUUCUUUGUAUGACUUAGUGUAGCUUUAAGAUAUAAGACAGAGGAGUACUCCUCACCUAGCUCUUUAAACUUGGAUUUUUCUGGGCCUUUGCUUUAACAUGUAAAUUUUAUAAUUAAGUUCCACCAAAAGAGAAAAACCUUGAGUUUUUGAUUGACUAUUCAGUUUAUAGAUCAAUUGGGGAAGAUUAACACCUUUAAAACAUUGAUACUUCUGACCAUGAAUAUAGCAUAUCCCUCAAUUUAUAUGGAUGCUAAGAGUUUUCAACAUGUUGUUUUUUAAUGUGUAAGUUUCUUAUGGUCAAUAUAAAGUUGACUUCUGUAUAUUGAAAUUGUAUUCAAAAACCUUGGUAAAACUCAUCCUACCACUGUAUUUCAAAGAUUUAUUGUGAUAUAUAACUCCUCAUAAUCUGGGAAUGAGGCUUUUUUUUCUCCCUUUAUAAUGGUUACAUUUCCUUGCAUAGAAAAGGUACUAUCGUUGUCCUCUGUUUCACAAAGAAUACCUUUUUAAGGGGAAAGGUACUAGGGAUCAAACCCAGGCCAUUUGUGCAUGCUAGGCAAGCACUGUACCACUGGUAGUUCACUUUGCACUAUGUUGUAGAUUUUCAGUAGGUACCUUUGAUCAAAUUAAGGACAUUGCCAUUUCCCACAUGUCUUUUAAUUGUAGGUGGACGCAAUACCUUUUAUAUGGUGCUGAGGAUCAAACCCAGCCCCUCAUGCAUGCUAGGUAGGCACUCUUCCACUGAGCCAUAACCCCAGUCCCCCCACUUUUUAAAUCAUGAAUGGCUUUCCUCAAGGUUUUUUUCUCUUAAGACUUUUGUUCAUACUGCUAAGAUAAACUUGUAUUUCUAGAAUCUGUUAGAAAUUACUUGUGAAACCAUUUGGGCCUGGAAAUUUCUUUGUACAAAGGUUUUAUUACUACACAAUAUUUUACAGGUGCAUGAUUAUCAGGGUUCUUGUAAGUUGUGCUUUCCAAGAAAAUUAUCUAUUUCAGUUAAUGUAAAAUUGUUUAUAGUGAUGUCCCCU
rnacentral:lncRNA from 1 species